AUUGAACGCUGGCGGUAUGCUUAAGACAUGCAAGUCGUGCGGUAGAGGCUUCGGCCUUGAGAGCGGCGGACGGGUGAGUAACACGUGGGAAUCUGCCUAUUAGUGGGGGACAGCCCAGCGAAAGCUGGAUUAAUACCGCAUACGCCCUACGGGGGAAAGCAGCAAUGCGCUAAUAGAUGAGCCCGCGUAAGAUUAGCUAGUUGGUAAGGUAAAGGCUUACCAAGGCGACGAUCUUUAGCUGGUCUGAGAGGAUGACCAGCCACAUCGGGACUGAGACACGGCCCGGACUCCUACGGGAGGCAGCAGUCGGGAAUAUUGGACAAUGGGCGCAAGCCUGAUCCAGCAAUACCGCGUGUGUGAAGAAGGCCUGCGGGUUGUAAAGCACUUUCAGUUGGGAAGAUAAUGACGUUACCAACAGAAGAAGCACCGGCUAACUCCGUG
rnacentral:rRNA from 1 species